AGGAGUUGUCUUCUCCAAGUCCAAUGAAAGAGGACUCUUCCUGUUAGAGUCCGAUAAAUUGCCCAAAUUUCCUUCUAAAAACCCCAAUUUUGCCUAUAAAAGAGUUCCCUAACCUUUCUUCUAGAAUUCGGGCAUUAGAUUUCUCUAUUAGAGCAAGGAUUCAAGUUCUCUAUGGAGGGUUUCUACCAUUGUUUUGGCCAUGAUGACCUCACUGCGGUGAAGACCAAUGGCAGCCGACCAUCGCCACUGCCGUCGCGUGCCAAUACCACUGCCACCACCAACCGGUAUGUGGGGUCACCAGCCCUAAAGCUCCCGUGGCCACGUUUGGGAACAAGAGAAAAGGGGAGUUCCCUAUUUUGAAGAAGAGAAGAGUCCCCUCUUCUCUCUCCUCUCUUUUCUCUCCUCUUUCUUUCUUUCUUCUAUCUCUUCCCUAAUUUUCUCUCUCCUCUAUCUUCUUUCUCUCUCUAGAUGACUCAAGGGAUUGGGUGAAGAGAGAUUCACAAGGCUAGUAAUGAACCCAUGGUGACCCAACAGAGAGUACCAAGCUGAUAAUUAUAUUUUUAUACAGCUUUGAUAAUUGGAUUUGAUUUUAUAGAAGAGCAGUUGUUUGGAUCAAUGGUGGGUCUAGAAGUAUUUUGGAGCUUCAGGUCGACCCUAGGAGAGGUCCCAAACCGGCAUUAUGAGAUCAGGGUGAGAAAUUGCCAGGGCAAGACAAUGUUGAGCCAAACACUUUGCCAUGGAAUUCAUAGUCUGAGGAGCUGAGGAGUAGGUCAAUGUUUAGACUAGUCUCAGUUGAAAAGUUCCAGAUUUGGGUCCAACAUGUUUGUGUCAGAAAGCAUAUAUAUAGUUUUUAACUGAACAUAUUGUUCUGCAUGAAAAACAUGUCCAUGUAUUAUGUUCUGAAAUAAACAGCCCAAAAGGCAUUCGAAUUUUCAA